AUUGAACGCUGGCGGCAUGCCUAACACAUGCAAGUCGAACGAGACCUUCGGGUCUAGUGGCGCACGGGUGCGUAACGCGUGGGAAUCUGCCCUUAGGUUCGGAAUAACUUCGGGAAACUGAAGCUAAUACCGGAUGAUGACGUAAGUCCAAAGAUUUAUCGCCUAAGGAUGAGCCCGCGUUGGAUUAGCUAGUUGGUGAGGUAAAGGCUCACCAAGGCGACGAUCCAUAGCUGGUCUGAGAGGAUGAUCAGCCACACUGGGACUGAGACACGGCCCAGACUCCUACGGGAGGCAGCAGUGGGGAAUAUUGGACAAUGGGCGAAAGCCUGAUCCAGCAAUGCCGCGUGAGUGAUGAAGGCCUUAGGGUUGUAAAGCUCUUUUACCCGGGAUGAUAAUGACAGUACCGGAGAAUAAGCCCGGCUAACUCCGUGCCAGCAGCCGCGGUAAU
rnacentral:rRNA from 1 species